rnacentral:rRNA from 2 species
UUUAUAUGAGAGUUUGAUCCUGGCUCAGGAUGAACGCCGGCGGUGUGCCUAAUACAUGCAAGUCGAACGCGUUGGYCCAAUUGAUUGAUGGUGCUUGCACCUGAUUGAUUUUGGUCGCCAACGAGUGGCGGACGGGUGAGUAACACGUAGGUAACCUGCCCAGAAGCGGGGGACAACAUUUGGAAACAGAUGCUAAUACCGCAUAACARCGUUGUUCGCAUGAACAACGCUUAAAAGAUGGCUUCUCGCUAUCACUUCUGGAUGGACCUGCGGUGCAUUAGCUUGUUGGUGGGGUAACGGCCUACCAAGGCGAUGAUGCAUAGCCGAGUUGAGAGACUGAUCGGCCACAAUGGGACUGAGACACGGCCCAUACUCCUACGGGAGGCAGCAGUAGGGAAUCUUCCACAAUGGGCGCAAGCCUGAUGGAGCAACACCGCGUGAGUGAAGAAGGGUUUCGGCUCGUAAAGCUCUGUUGUUAAAGAAGAACACGUAUGAGAGUAACUGUUCAURCGUUGACGGUAUUUAACCAGAAAGUCACGGCUAACUACGUGCCAGCAGCCGCGGUAAUACGUAGGUGGCAAGCGUUAUCCGGAUUUAUUGGGCGUAAAGAGAGUGCAGGCGGUUUUCUAAGUCUGAUGUGAAAGCCUUCGGCUUAACCGGAGAAGUGCAUCGGAAACUGGAUAACUUGAGUGCAGAAGAGGGUAGUGGAACUCCAUGUGUAGCGGUGGAAUGCGUAGAUAUAUGGAAGAACACCAGUGGCGAAGGCGGCUACCUGGUCUGCAACUGACGCUGAGACUCGAAAGCAUGGGUAGCGAACAG